rnacentral:rRNA from 1 species
GAUGAACGCUGGCGGCGUGCUUAACACAUGCAAGUCGAACGGUGAAGCAGGAGCUUGCUCUUGUGGAUCAGUGGCGAACGGGUGAGUAACACGUGAGCAACCUGCCCCUGACUCUGGGAUAAGCGCUGGAAACGGCGUCUAAUACUGGAUAUGUGAUGUGACCGCAUGGUCUGCAUCUGGAAAGAAUUUCGGUUGGGGAUGGGCUCGCGGCCUAUCAGCUUGUUGGUGAGGUAAUGGCUCACCAGGGCGGCGACGGGUAGCCGGCCUGUGAGGGUGACCGGCCACACUGGGACUGAGACACGGCCCAGACUCCUACGGGAGGCAGCAGUGGGGAAUAUUGCACAAUGGGCGGAAGCCUGAUGCAGCAACGCCGCGUGAGGGAUGACGGCCUUCGGGUUGUAAACCUCUUUUAGCAGGGAAGAAGCGAAAGUGACGGUACCUGCAGAAAAAGCACCGGCUAACUACGUGCCAGCCGCCGCCGUAA